rnacentral:rRNA from 1 species
UACGUAGGGUGCGAGCGUUGUCCGGAAUUAUUGGGCGUAAAGAGCUCGUAGGCGGUGUGUCACGUCGGCCGUGAAAACCUGCAGCUUAACUGUGGGCGUGCGGUCGAUACGGGCACCACUGGAGUUCGGCAGGGGAGACUGGAAUUCCUGGUGUAGCGGUGAAAUGCGCAGAUAUCAGGAGGAACACCGGUGGCGAAGGCGGGUCUCUGGGCCGAUACUGACGCUGAGGAGCGAAAGCGUGGGGAGCAAACAGGA